rnacentral:rRNA from 1 species
GUUGCGGUUAAAACGCUCGUAGUUGGAUAUCUGCUAAGGGGUUCCGGUCCUUCCCAGUGAAGAAUACGCGGAACUCUUCUUGGCAUUUAUUCAGGGAAGGUGUUUGCACUUUGUUGUGUGUCACGUGAUCUGAAUUUUUACUUUGAGGAAAUGAGAGUGUUUCAAGCAGGCUUUCGCCGUGAAUAUGAUAGCAUGGAAUAAUAGCACAGGACCCCUUUCCAAAGCUGUUGGUUUUUGGAACGAGGUAAUCAGAAUAAGGAUAGUUGGGGGUAUUC